ACUGAGGCCCCCAAUCCAAAAUUAAAACUCUUUCCAUUCUUCCACACUGCCUCAAUAGGUGAGCAGUGGGACUGGAAGACCUCUAAAAUCCCUUUGAUCUCUUAGAUUUAUGAUUGGGGAAUUCCUAAAAUUUAAAAAAAGAACCUUUUUAAAAUGAGCUAUCUUCUCCUCUCUUACUUAGACUAUCUAGAGCCAUGCUUGGCUUGAACUCUAUGCUACCUGAGAAUGGGAACUUCAUCUUACUACUAAAGGGCACGGAGUACGGCUCUGAGGCAACAUUUGGACAUUUGCAGUGAUCUCCUGGGGAGCCUGUACUUUUCCAGGUGAGCAAGCCCCACUUUCAGGUCCACUUCUAUCCCUUCUUUCAUUGACAAAGGAUCAUAGGCGCAUCGAUUUCAAAUUUUGAGGGAUUGUAGAGGUCAUCUGGCCUGUCUCUUACAUUUUAUAGAUGAGGAAAAUAAGGCUCAGAGACAUCAAAUGACUUCCUCAAGGUGACACAUUUAGUAGGUAGCAAAUCCAAGAUUUAACCCAGGUCCUCUGACUCUGAAUCCAGCCCUCUCUUAAUUUCAUCGUAUCUAUUGAUGCCAUUCCAUACCUCUCCUCUGGAAGUCUAAUGCCAGAAGCCUGGUAACCCAAAAUCCAUUUCAUUCUCAGUAAUAUGAGAAUGUGUCCUGCCUAUUUUAAGGAGAGAGUCUGAUCAUAAACCUAGUUUGAGAGUCCUGCUAACAGAUUUCAGUACUUUCUCUUAUGUGUGUGUGUGUGUGUGUGUGUGUGUGUGUUUCUUUUGUUCUGUUUCUUCUUCACAAUGUGACUAAUAUGGAAAUAUGUUUUACAUGAUUGCACAUAUAUAACCUAUAUCAAAUUGGUUACCAUCUUAGGGAGGGAGGAAAUGAAGAAGGAAGAGAGAAUUUGGAACUCAGUUUUUUUAAAAAACAAAGGUUAAAAGUUAUCUUUAUGUGUAAUUGGUAAAAAAAGAAAUAAAAUGAAAUAUUAUUUUAAAAAAGAAAGUUCU
rnacentral:lncRNA from 1 species